CCUACGGGAGGCAGCAGUGAGGAAUAUUGGUCAAUGGGCGCGAGCCUGAACCAGCCAAGUAGCGUGAAGGAUGACGGCCCUACGGGUUGUAAACUUCUUUUAUAAAGGAAUAAAGUGAGGCACGUGUGCCGUUUUGUAUGUACUUUAUGAAUAAGGAUCGGCUAACUCCGUGCCAGCAGCCGCGGUAAGACGGAGGAGCCGAGCGUUAUCCGGAUUUAUUGGGUUUACAGGGAGCGUAGAUGGGUUGUUAAGUCAGUUGUGAAAGUUUGCGGCUCAACCGUAAAAUUGCAAUUGAUACUGGCAGCCUUGAGUACAGUUGAGGUAGGCGGACUUCGUGGUGUAGCGGUUCACUUCU
rnacentral:rRNA from 1 species